UUUAACAUCUCUUCCAAAUUACACACCGACAUUCUUUUAACGGCAGCCACGGUGAAUCCAGUUUCACAUUUCAUGUUCUCACCAUCUUGAAGAGGACCAUUAACUACCCAACCAAGUACAGUCUUUAUUGCAUAUGGGCCAUUCACUUGGCUGUUGACAACCUCCCAGGGUUGCAAUAUUUUAGGAGUGUUGGUACAAAUCAACAUGUUAACAUUGGCAUCUAUGCAGGGAUUCUGAACAUUGGAAAGGAAAGGCCAGUUUGCCAGCUCUUCUUGUGUAACAAUAUUUCCAUAAGUAACAGGCAUUUUGCUUUGUGUGAAAAAGCAAAAAGACUGUAAAAAUGGUUGUUGUCAAGUCCAGCUACAUCCACACCUCUUAAAACAUGAGUGGAAACAACUCUUUCCUGCCCCAUGGUGCUUAAAAGGACAUUUGUUUUUCUUCCAGCUAUAUUUAACCUUUGCAUAAGAUGUUCUGAGCCAAACGUUGCUGUACUCCCAGGAUCCAAAAAUGCUUAGGUGGUUCGAGUUGACUGGGGGGCGUGGCCCACACCUGUGGCUCGUCAGGAGUGUCUUCCCACUGGCUUCUUAAGGAGUGCUCAGACGGAUGUUAACCCAGUCAUGGUAUGCUGUGGCCUCUGACCUGUCUCCUGAACCUCGUAUCGGUGAGUCUUUUGGAAUCCUGUUCUUAGUUUUUCGUGUUUGGAUUUACUCACCUGUCUUGAUGUUGUGCUGAAGGAACCAGCUCCUCAGAAUCCCCGCCGCUCAGAUUUUGCUCUGGCAUUUCCCCUCAUACCCCCUUGGUGGUGCCGGGCGUGAGACCCCUUUCCUGGAUUCACCUGGUUCACCCACAACACUCCGGUUCUUCCAUCUGCUCCUCCCGUCUACUGUGGUGCGCUCUGGAUCCCUCACCAGCAUUACCAUCUGUCAGCCCUCCAGUUACUUAGCCACCUGUUACCAUCAACGAGUUACGGUCAGAGCUCCCUCGCCACUUACUCUCCCCGGAUAGGUCUUCUCAACUAAAUGGUAAGCGGCGCAGCUUCUAGUAUUUUUCUCUGGUUUGCUCUCCCGUAACAUUAUUCCUCCUCCUUUCCGCAGACGUUCCAGCACUGACGUUCAGACCUCGCCCGAGCCAUUAGUAGUGUCUUUUUCAUUGCCUGACCUUUAAUAAACAUCUUUAAAUUG